rnacentral:rRNA from 1 species
UGGAGAGUUUGAUCCUGGCUCAGAACGAACGCUGGCGGCAUGCCUAACACAUGCAAGUCGAACGAACCCUUCGGGGUUAGUGGCGCACGGGUGCGUAACGCGUGGGAAUCUGCCCUUUGCUUCGGAAUAACAGUUAGAAAUGACUGCUAAUACCGGAUGAUGUCUUCGGACCAAAGAUUUAUCGGCAAAGGAUGAGCCCGCGUAGGAUUAGGUAGUUGGUGGGGUAAAGGCCUACCAAGCCGACGAUCCUUAGCUGGUCUGAGAGGAUGAUCAGCCACACUGGGACUGAGACACGGCCCAGACUCCUACGGGAGGCAGCAGUGGGGAAUAUUGGACAAUGGACGCAAGUCUGAUCCAGCAAUGCCGCGUGAGUGAUGAAGGCCUUAGGGUUGUAAAGCUCUUUUACCAGGGAUGAUAAUGACAGUACCUGGAGAAUAAGCUCCGGCUAACUCCGUGCCAGCAGCCGCGGUA